rnacentral:rRNA from 1 species
AUUGAACGCUGGCGGCAUGCUUUACACAUGCAAGUCGAACGGCAGCGGAGAGUGCUUGCACUCUGCCGGCGAGUGGCGAACGGGUGAGUAACAUAUUGGAACGUACCGAGUAUGGGGGAUAACUAUCCGAAAGGAUAGCUAAUACCCCAUACGCUUUGAGAAGGAAAGUGGGGGAUCUUCGGACCUCACGUUAUUCGAGCGGCCAAUAUCUGAUUAGCUAGUUGGUGGGGUAAAGGCCUACCAAGGCGACGAUCAGUAGCGGGUCUGAGAGGAUGAUCCGCCACACUGGGACUGAGACACGGCCCAGACUCCUACGGGAGGCAGCAGUGGGGAAUUUUGGACAAUGGGCGCAAGCCUGAUCCAGCCAUGCCGCGUGUCUGAAGAAAGGGCUUCGGGUUGUAAAGGACUUUUGUUAGGGAAGAAAAGAAAUGGGUUAAUACUCCAUUUUGCUG